AUCUCGAUCCAAAGCUAUUCUAACAGAACUCAAGAGUUUUGAUGCUGACCUCAUGUGUAUACAGGUGGUGCUCAAAAUAUAAUUGAAAGUUGCUUCUAAGGGAAAAUUAUCAGGCAUGGUUGACAUUAUGGGAUAAACCCAGCAGGGUUAUUGGUUAUUUGCAGAGAUUCAGCUAUAACAAUGGGGUUUAUUUACAAGAUACACUUUGUUCUGUAAAUUUGUCUCUCUUCCAAUGGUUCACUAUCUGAUUUUGAAAGCAUUAUUCAUAUAUUCUCAUGCGAUAGUUGUAGACCAAAUGAGCAGUGGUCGAAACGAGAUGCGGAUCUUAUUUUGUUCAUUCAUGAUUACAAAGUUCUUGCCAUGAUAAAGUUUGGGUGCUAGAUGGAGGUUUGCCUCAAUGACGUGCUUCUGUGUAUGAUGUUGAAUCAAGCGCCUCCAGUGAUGCCAUCUUAAAGGCCAGUGCUGCUGGUGAAGCAAUUGAGAAAGUUUACCAGGGUCAAUCGGUUGGUCCAUUCACAUUUGAAGCAAAGUUGCAGACCCAUCUUAUUUGGAGCCAUGAUCAGGUGAAAGAGAACAUCAAGACCCAGACACAUCAACUUAUAGAUGCUCGAUCAAAACCUAGGUAUCUUACUUGUAUUCUGAAAUUUGAAGUCUUGUAUGUUCUGUCCAAUUUCCAUGUAAUAAGUCACAUUGUUAAUUUCUACAAUCAUAUCAAGUGCCCAACCAGAGAAUAAUGGGCAGCUUGUUAUUAAGUUUGCUACAGAGAGAGGCUCAAAACUAGGCUUAAUGUAUGAACUCUUUGUUUUAAUUUUAAUGUAUGAACUCUUUCAUUUAAUCUCGAUGUAUGAGCUC